rnacentral:rRNA from 1 species
AACUAACGCUGGCGGCGUGCCUAACACAUGCAAGUCGAACGAGAAAGUUGGCUUCGGCCGAUGAGUAAAGUGGCGCACGGGUGAGUAACGCGUGGAUAAUCUGCCCUUAAGUUCGGAAUAACGUACCGAAAGGUGCGCUAAUACCGGAUAAUACUGAGUGACUACUGUUGCUUAGUCAAAGAAGGCUUCUGUUUACAUGCUUUUGCUUUGGGAUGAGUCCGCGUACCAUUAGCUAGUUGGUAGGGUAAUGGCCUACCAAGGCUACGAUGGUUAGCUGGUCUGAGAGGAUGAUCAGCCACACUGGAACUGAGACACGGUCCAGACUCCUACGGGAGGCUG